rnacentral:lncRNA from 1 species
GGGAACUGACAGUGAGCAUUUGAGGAUUAACGUGAAGAAGCUGAGCGAGGAGGCUCGUAGAGCAGUGUCUAGUGGUGGCUCCUCAUAUGAAAACCUGGAGAGAUUUGCUCAAGCAGUGAAAAUUUCCUAAACUUCAAUCCAAAGCUAAGAGAAAACUUCAAAGCAUCUACUCUAUUCAAGAAUAUACUACAGUUCUUUCUCUCUCUCUCUGAAGAUAAGCACGCGCUUUGCGCGUAUAAUGGGUUCCAAGGUCAAUGUUGUCGCAAUUCCUCUCCCAGCUCAAGGCCACAUCUCUCCACUCUUGCAUCUCUGCCAAGCUCUCACUUUCAUCCUUUGGGGGAUGCUAUCUCCGAAACACACAACCAUGAGGGAAUGUGCUGGACUUUGUCACGUGCAAGAACCCAUGGCCAAUGUGCUAGUGUAGACUCCAAGGUGAUGCCUUAUGUCAGAAACUGAUGCAAAAAGAAGAAACUAAAGAAAAACAAAAAAAAUAAUAAUAAGAAGAAAGAGAGUGUAAAGUUCUGGAGUCAAAAGGGAACCAUAUGAGGAAAUUUGAUAAAAGAACUAAACACUAAAAAAUGGAAAAACAAAAAGUGAAAAAAACUAAAGAGCAAGGAACAGCUUAAAGAAGAGCUCUAGAGGCCAGUUAUAAUGGCCAUUUGUCUCAAGUUGGUCCCUGGCAUAGAGCCUGAGUUCCUGGAGGCUUUCAAGGCUCUCCUUGAAAGUGAUCAGCUUUGGACUGGUUGUGAGCUGGGCUCCUCAACCGGAAAUCCUCCAGCAUCCUUCCACAGGCUGCGAGAGUGUAUCUUCAGCAGUGCCAAUCCUUUGCUGGUCAUGAGUUGCCGAGCAGAAUCUCAACUGCAAGCUUAUAGUGGAAAACUGGAAGAUCGAUCUUAAGUUCUCACCCAUGAGAGAUCCUUGCAAGGUGGUGGCAGGGAUGAGUUUGUGGAGGUGGUGGAGCAACUCAUGGGAGCUGAGAGUGGCGAUUCCUUUAGAUGUAAUGUGAAGGAGCUCAGCGAGGCUGCUCAGGGAGCAACAGUGAAAGAAGUCAAGAUCUUCAUAUGAAAGUUUGGACAAGUUUGUCAAGUUUCAUAAGGUAAUUUAUAUCCAAUGCCGCAGCUGGUGGCAGGACGAUCAUCGGGCAUGAGGGCGGGGCCAAUGCACAGACAGACCAACCACCAAGAGCACAUAAAGAUGAUACUUGAAAGUGUAUAGGUUGGUGGAAGUGUUAUUUUCCUUCCCAAAGAAAUAGAUGGCGUAAUCAAGAGGAGUAAAACAUUCCUGAAGGAGAACACUAGAUUAAAACCUUUGCAAAACGCACUGAUUCUUAAGCUCAGCCUUGGAGCGAUUUCAAGCUUAUCCAGAAAAGGUAUUGUGAGAAACGGCAGCACCUUCCAGAGCACUCACGAAGUAAGCUUGAAUUUUCUUUGUUCUUCGUCAAUGGGUUCUUCUACUGGUGCCGAGGGGCUCGCUCCUCACGCAGCGGUUCUUCCCAUUCCAACGCUACGCCACAUCACUCCAUUCCUCCAUCUCUCCAGAGCUCUGGCCUCGCGAGGCUUCGUCAUAACUUUCAUCAACACGGAGGGCAACCACAGGGACCUGAAGGACAUCGUUUCACAGGAGGAGAGCUUUGGCUAUGGCGGCGGCAUUCGCUUCGAGACGGUCCCGGGCAUCCAAGCGAGCGACGUCGACUUCGCGGUCCCGGAGAAGCGGGGGAUGUUCUCCGAGGCAGUGAUGGAGAUGCAGGCUCCAGUGGAAAGCUUGCUCAUCAGGAACAUGGCCAGAGACGAUGAUCUCGUUCCUCCGGUCUCGUGCUUCAUCUCGGAUAUGUUCCCGUGGUCCGCGGAAGUAGCAAGAAGGACUGGAAUCCCAGAGGUCAAGUUCUGGAUCGCCAGUGCCUCUUGCGUUUUGCUCGAUUGCUCGUUUCCGCGAAUGCUGGAGAAGGGAGACGUUCCAGUCCAAGGUAAAGCUUCUUUCUUCUUUUUUAUUUGUCCUUCUUUCGAGAAGCACUAACGUGUUCCGCCAGAUCGUUCCAUUGAAAAGUACAUCACUUACGUAGACGGCUUGUCACCACUGCCAAUCUGGGGCCUCCCGCGCGACCUUUCUGCCAUUGACGAAUCAAGAUUCGCUGGCAGAUACGCUAGAGCCAAGAGCUUCGCCACAACGUCGUGGGUUUUGGUCAACUCGUUCGAAGAACUCGAGGGCAGUGCCACCUUCCAAGCCCUCCGAGACAUCUCUCCCAAAGCAAUCGCUGUGGGUCCUCUUUUCACCAUGGCCCCCGGCUGCAACAAGGCAAGCUUGUGGAAGGAAGACACCGAGAGUUUAUCCUGGCUCGGCAAGCAAAGUCCCGGCUCGGUUCUCUACAUUUCCUUGGGCACCAUCGCGACUCUCAGCUUCGAUCAGUUCAAGGAGUUCUCCGAGGGACUGAGGCUUCUCCAGCGUCCGUUUAUCUGGGCCAUCCGACCCAAGUCGGUCGCCGGCAUGGAGCCCGAGUUCCUGGAGCGUUUCAAGGAGGCCGUGAGGAGCUUUGGACUGGUUGUGAGCCGGGCUCCUCAGGUGGACAUCCUCCGCCACCCUUCCACGGCUGGAUUUCUCAGUCACUGCGGCUGGAACUCCAUCCUCGAGAGCGUAGCAUCCGCGGUGCCCAUGCUUUGCUGGCCGUGCGUCGCGGAGCAGAAUCUAAACUGCAAGUUGAUAGUGGAGGACUGGAAGAUCGGUCUCAAGUUCUCGUGCGUGACCAUGCCGGAUCCUCCCGAGGUGAUGGCGAGGGACGAGUUUGUGGAGGUGGUGGAGCGAUUCAUGGGAACUGACAGUGAGCAUUUGAGGAUUAACGUGAAGAAGCUGAGCGAGGAGGCUCGUAGAGCAGUGUCUAGUGGUGGCUCCUCAUAUGAAAACCUGGAGAGAUUUGCUCAAGCAGUGAAAAUUUCCUAAACUUCAAUCCAAAGCUAAGAGAAAACUUCAAAGCAUCUACUCUAUUCAAGAAUAUACUACAGUUCUUUCUCUCUUUCUCUGAAGAUAAGCACGCGCUUUGCGCGUAUAAUGGGUUCCAAGGUCAAUGUUGUCGCAAUUCCUCUCCCAGCUCAAGGCCACAUCUCUCCACUCUUGCAUCUCUGCCAAGCUCUCACUUUCAUCCUUUGGGGGAUGCUAUCUCCAAAACACACAACCAUGAGGGAAUGUGCUGGACUUUGUCACGUGCAAGAACCCAUGGCCAAUGUGCUAGUGUAGACUCCAAGGUGAUGCCUUAUGUCAGAAACUGAUGCAAAAAGAAGAAACUAAAGAAAAACAAAAAAAAU